AGAGUUUGUUCCUGGCUCAGGAUGAACGCUAGCUACAGGCUUAACACAUGCAAGUCGAGGGGCAGCAUGGUCUUAGCUUGCUAAGGCCGAUGGCGACCGGCGCACGGGUGAGUAACACGUAUCCAACCUGCCGUCUACUCUUGGACAGCCUUCUGAAAGGAAGAUUAAUACAAGAUGGCAUCAUGAGUCCGCAUGUUCACAUGAUUAAAGGUAUUCCGGUAGACGAUGGGGAUGCGUUCCAUUAGAUAGUAGGCGGGGUAACGGCCCACCUAGUCUUCGAUGGAUAGGGGUUCUGAGAGGAAGGUCCCCCACAUUGGAACUGAGACACGGUCCAAACUCCUACGGGAGGCAGCAGUGAGGAAUAUUGGUCAAUGGGCGAGAGCCUGAACCAGCCAAGUAGCGUGAAGGAUGACUGCCCUAUGGGUUGUAAACUUCUUUUAUAAAGGAAUAAAGUCGGGUAUGCAUACCCGUUUGCAUGUACUUUAUGAAUAAGGAUCGGCUAACUCCGUGCCAGCAGCCGCGGUAAUACGGAGGAUCCGAGCGUUAUCCGGAUUUAUUGGGUUUAAAGGGAGCGUAGAUGGAUGUUUAAGUCAGUUGUGAAAGUUUGCGGCUCAACCGUAAAAUUGCAGUUGAUACUGGGUGUCUUGAGUACAGUAGAGGCAGGCGGAAUUCGUGGUGUAACGGUGAAAUGCUUAGAUAUCACGAAGAACUCCGAUUGCGAAGGCAGCUUGCUGGACUGUAACUGACGCUGAUGCUCGAAAGUGUGGGUAUCAAACAGGAUUAGAUCCCCUGGUAGUUCCACACCAGUAAACGAUGAAUACUUCGCUGUUUGCGAUAUACAGUAAGCGGCCAAGCGAAAGCGUUAAGUAUUCCACUUGGGGAGUACGCCGGCAACGGUGAAACUCAAAGGAAUUGACGGGGGCCCGCACAAGCGGAGGAACAUGUGGUUUAAUUCGAUGAUACGCGAGGAACCUUACCCGGGCUUGAAUUGCAACUGAAUGAUGUGGAGACAUGUCAGCCGCAAGGCAGUUGUGAAGGUGCUGCAUGGUUGUCGUCAGCUCGUGCCGUGAGGUGUCGGCUUAAGUGCCAUAACGAGCGCAACCCUUAUCGAUAGUUACCAUCAGGUUAUGCUGGGGACUCUGUCGAGACUGCCGUCGUAAGAUGUGAGGAAGGUGGGGAUGACGUCAAAUCAGCACGGCCCUUACGUCCGGGGCUACACACGUGUUACAAUGGGGGGUACAGAAGGCAGCUACACGGCGACGUGAUGCUAAUCCCGAAAGCCUCUCUCAGUUCGGAUUGGAGUCUGCAACCCGACUCCAUGAAGCUGGAUUCGCUAGUAAUCGCGCAUCAGCCACGGCGCGGUGAAUACGUUCCCGGGCCUUGUACUCAUCGCCCGUCA
rnacentral:rRNA from 1 species